rnacentral:lncRNA from 1 species
GUUGGUUGGCUCGUUGGCUUUGCGCUGACGAGCCGUGGUGUAUACCUACUAUAUUUACCAUAUGUUCAUAUCUAUAGAUACGUAUACACGUAGCAUAUACUAUAUAGACGAUACCUGAUUAAAAUUGAAAUCCGCAAACGAAAACAAUGUCUUUAUAACCUUACUAGAUUUAUUGGAACGUGUAUUUGAAGUUUUCACGCCAUUGAGUUUUAAUUAAUAUGCUAUGAAUUGUCACCAGAGUAUUCUUUUUGAUCGUUAUAAUCUGCCUAAUGAGAAUUAUGUCAACAAAAUAUUUGCAACCAGCAGAUUCUGUUAAUUGGAAACAAGGUGAUUUGAAUCAAGUCAAUAUUCCUAUUCAGAAAACAUACAACUUACUUAUCAACAAAACACAUGGAAUUUCACAUAAUAUUAAAAUAAUAUGGUCAGCGAUUGAGUUAAAAAAUAUAACCAUUGAUUUAGCAAAGAUUCGUUAUGCUAUGCACUAUAUUGACAAAGACAAGGGUUUGGCUAAUUGUACUUACGUCAAAAAUUUCUCCAACCACCAAGCUGUAUUACCCUUUCAUAGAGCUGUUAAACCAUUUAUAUAUAUGACCACAAAUAAGCACAAAAAGUUAAUUAUUAUAAUUUGAAAAGUUUGAAUCUAUAAAAUACGUUUAGAAAUUUGUGAAUCAAGUAAUACAAGAAUUUUUUUAAUAAUCAAAUACUUCAAUAUAAUGAAAUACUCAAACUAGGUUCAACUAAUAAAAAUCUUUAGAAUCGAUAAAAGCUCCUCGACAAUACAUAAUAGCACUGAAAAAUUAUUAAGUAAUUCAAAACAAAUUUAUAAAUAACAGAAGAGUUUCCAAGAGUAAUCAAACACUAUAUUUUAUAAAUGGAUUAACUGAUUGUUACUUAGAUGUGCUAAAACAAUUUUAACACAAAAAUACAGAACAAAGGAUAUUCUACCCUGGGAGAAACGUUAACUGUUAAUAAGUUAAGUUUUGGGUCACUUAGCUAAGUUAUGGUAACAAUUUAAAUAAAUAAGAGUUUCAACAUUAUAAAUGCAUAGAUAUACACAUUAACUCAAGAUAAAACAGAACAUUUGCUUGAAAUUUGUCAAAUGACUGUUACAAUCCAGAAAUUAUAGAAAAAUAUCUUGCAAUCGUGAAAAAUCCAAAUAUUUGUAAUAAAACAUGCAAACGAUUUAAUGCAAGAAAAAAAGGAAAAAACAAUUUUUAACUUAAAAAUAAUACUGUGUUGGUAUAAUAGACACGCAUCACUAAAAUAUUAGCUAACAUUUAGCUUUAUUUUUUUACAUUCAAAUUUGAUAAUAAUGGUCAACUAAACUUAACUUUUUAACGGUUUUCACUCGUUAAUUUUCUACCAGGGUACUUUAUAUAAUAUGAAAAAUAAAUUGACUCACAAAUGAGCUUGAACUAAAAAGACUGCAAAGAAUGAAAGAUGUAAGUUGUGCAUAAUGUGCCUUUAAAAAAAAUAGUAAAGAUAGAUAUUGUCAUUUAAGUGAUAUUUUUUCAUUUUUUAUCUUUCAAUUAUAUUAAAAUGAUUAUUUUUAUAUCUUAUAUUGAUGAAAUAUUUAGAUUUUUUACUAUUUUAUCGUGCUAUUUAUUGUUAAAACUAUUAGUUCGACUAAUUUGUUUACAUGUAGAUAAUAUUAUUUUUAUAUAUUUUAUUGAUCCUAUUGAUGAAUAUUAAAUAAUUUAGUAUCUUUUUAAUUUCAUCAUUUAGAAUAUGCUAAUGUGACUGUUUUUAAAGAAAACUAUUUAUGCCUCGUAUUUUGUAAUGCAAUUUGUAUAGAGUUGGUUGCACAUUCCAUUUUGAUAUUUUGUAUUUUGAUAAAAAUUUAGAAAAUGUUUUUAACUUUUCUACAUCCUUUUUAUAAAUAACAACAAUUUUACCUAAUGUAUACGUUUUAUAAUAAUACGAAAUGUUUUUAAUUUUAUUAUACAAAUAAAUAGAUGUUUUUUAUUAAUAAAA